rnacentral:rRNA from 1 species
CGAAAACGAAUUCUCUCUUGAGUGGAUCCUGAGUACGACGGAGCACGUGAAAUUCCGUCGGAAUCUGGGAGGACCAUCUCCUAAGGCUAAAUACUCUCUAGUGACCGAUAGUGAACCAGUACCGUGAGGGAAAGGUGAAAAGUACCCCGGAAGGGGAGUGAAAGAGAACUUGAAACCGUGUGCUUACAAGUAGUCAGAGCCCGUUAAUGGGUGAUGGCGUGCCUUUUGUAGAAUGAACCGGCGAGUUACGAUCUGAUGCAAGGUUAAGCAGAAAAUGUGGAGCCGUAGCGAAAGCGAGUCUGAAUAGGGCGAAUGAGUAUUUGGUCGUAGACCCGAAACCAGGUGAUCUACCCUUGGUCAGGUUGAAGUUCAGGUAACACUGAAUGGAGGACCGAACCGACUUACGUUGAAAAGUGAGCGGAUGAACUGAGGGUAGCGGAGAAAUUCCAAUCGAACUUGGAGAUAGCUGGUUCUCUCCGAAAUAGCUUUAGGGCUAGCCUCAAGUGAUGAUUAUUGGAGGUAGAGCACUGUUUGGACGAGGGGCCCCUCUCGGGUUACCGAAUUCAGACAAACUCCGAAUGCCAAAUAAUUUAACUUGGGAGUCAGAAUGUGGGUGAUAAGGUCCAUAUUCGAAAGGGAAACAGCCCAGACCACCAGCUAAGGUCCCAAAAUAUAUGUUAAGUGGAAAAGGAUGUGGCGUUGCCCAGACAACUAGGAUGUUGGCUUAGAAGCAGCCAUCAUUUAAAGAGUGCGUAAUAGCUCACUAGUCGAGUGACACUGCGCCGAAAAUGUACCGGGGCUAAACAUAUUACCGAAGCUGUGGAUUGUCCUUUGGACA